rnacentral:lncRNA from 1 species
CCUGACACUGCUCAUGGUGUUUUUGUUCCUGUGUUCAGGACUGAGUUCAGUGUUGCCUUAUCAGUGUCCCUGGAAAUCAGCUCUGCCCAGCACUUUUCCAAUCCAGCUUCCCCACACGGUCCUGUCUCACCGGUUCCUUUCCUUUCUCACAUUCCCUGCUGGGUGCACUCUCCUUCCUCAGUGCCUGGGCUGGUAUUUACAUCCCUUUCCUGUUUGUCUUGUAGCUCAUCCCAGCAUGGAUUCCCUCACCAAGGGAGUAACAUCUUCCUUCCAGUCAAAGACUUCCCACCUAACAAGGAACAACGAAUUCACUCCAGAUUUAUUCCAGAAUCUGCAGCCUCAGUCACACAAACCCGCCAGGGAAGCAAAGGAAACUCCUUCCAGCCCUGCAGAGCCACACCACACACCGAGCUCCUCAGCUGCCUGCCUGAUGAUGCAAGGAGUGAAUAAGCACGAAUAAAGACACAGAAACUGGGUGUUGUUUGUAGAAGUGAGGAGCAGAGCCCUCCGCCCAGCGCUGGGGAUACCGGAGCUCUUGCACAACUCGGCUCUCAGCCUGCUGCUCCUUUUUAUGCAUCUCUGUCCCUGUGGGCACUUUUCCACCAGGAGCACUGGGGAAGUUUUCCUUCCUCCCCAGCUGGAGGAGGAAGCAGCUCCUGGUCUGUGAGCAGCAGGGCUGGGAUGCCAGAGUGGGAUUCCUGCGUCAGGAUUUCCCUCAGACUCCGCACACCGUGAGCCUGUGCUGGCCUGCCAGGCUGGCUCACGGGCAGCUAAUUAGCGCCCUAAUUUCUAAGAAUUGGAAGAGGAUCGUUAAUUAAAAUUGGUUUGAAAGCUUCCAGUUUUGUAGAUGUUGAGUAAUUAAAACAACCAAUGGGCUCCUUUGUGUUUUCAUCUGAGAGCUCCCAGAUGGAGGCUGGAGACUCACCCUGGAGGGGAAUCAGUCCUGACCAGGCUGGGAAUAAGGGAGAAG